GAGAACCUGGGCCUGCGCUACUUGCGCGGCUCCAACCAAUACACAGUGUGUUAUACUUCUCUUGCUUUGGCUCUGCCAAAGGUUUUAAACACAGAAAUUUAUUUUCUCUAGAAACUAGUCAAUUUGAAUUUUAAUCUUCA
rnacentral:misc_RNA from 1 species